AUCGAACGCUGGCGGCAGGCCUAACACAUGCAAGUCGAGCGGAGCGGCGGACGGGUGAGUAAUGCCUGGGAAUCUGCCUGGUCGUGGGGGAUCACGUCCGGAAACGGGAGCUAAUACCGCAUACUAUCAGAUGAGCCUGGGUCGGCUUAGCUAGUUGGUGGGGUAAAGGCCUACCAAGGCGACGAUCCGUAACUGGUCUGAGAGGUUGAUCAGUCACACGGGAACGGAGACACGGACCCGACCCCUGCGGGAGGCAGCAGGGGGGAAUAUUGGGCAAUGGGCGAAAGCCUGAUCCAGCCAUGCCGCGAGUGCGAAGAAGGUCGUCGGAUUGUGAAGCACUUUAACUUGGGAGGCGUUACCAACAGAUAAAGCACCGGCUAACUUCGUUCCAGCAGCCGCGGUAAUUC
rnacentral:rRNA from 1 species